UAGUUUACAAACUAAAAUAGUUCGGCAAGUCGAAUUUAACACUUUUGCCUGAAGUUUUUAAGUCUCUAAUACAGAAUCUUGAAGUGAAAUGUUCAGUGAACUUCAGCCGAAUUAUGGCUCAUAAAAACACGCGAGUUUUUUCACAUGACAAGGUAGAAAACAAACUGUUCAAGGCGAGUGUUUUUUGAAUGAACGACAGCCGAAUUCACCGGAACAUGAAGAUCGCUCGUAAUGACAGCGCCGCAAAACUCGGCUGAAGUGACUGAUAUGACUUUCCACUCAACGUAUCGGAAAGGAUAUCAGAACAAGCUCUUAUUUUUUCACUCGAAGGGUGGCCGAUGUAGUUUCUGAGGCUUGCUUUACUGUGAUGACCGGAGAUCGCCAUGAUGAGCGAGCCGCGAUGAACUUAGCAUGAUCAUAUUCGCUCAGACACCGUCAUGUCAGAGGUAAAGAAAAACAUGGGCAGAAAAUUGAACGCCUCCACAAACGGAUUAAUAAUGUGGAAAUCCCCGAAAUAAAACUCUUUCGGGUCUGUCGAUGCUACUUUUCGAUAAUCCUGCCGUCAAAUGCCAUUUCUUAAGAACAUCUGAUAGCAAUUUUAAUUUCUACCUGUUAGUUUUACUUCCUACUCUGAGGUAGUUCAUCUCUUUUGACUCUAUAUGUAGGAGAGACAAACAUCUUUAACUCAAGCUGUACUUCUUGCAUCCCAACACAAAUUUGAAGCUAGAGCUGUUUUUCUCUUUGUCCCUCUAAUGUGCACUUUGAAGGAGACUGAUGAAAGCGUAUUUCGUCUUAAGGUAACUGUUAUGUUUUGUGAAUUUUUCAGCUCAGUAAUGGAGCGGAAUGUGUUCUGAUAAAGAAAAGUUGGUUCCCGCAGCAUGCUACAGAAACAACACUGCGAAAACUUAGAAAUCAAAUAAUUAGCUUACGAUUUGUUUCUUAAAGCAGCUUAAUGGUAGCAAGUGCAUGCUUUGUGAUAUCCGUGUUUACAAUUCUGAAGCCAUGUAAUAAUGCUGUGUGGGUAUGAGCAUGGGCAUGGGUAGAAAUUUAGUUUUCACUUCUUUUUGCGAGAUAAUUUAGAUGUGUUGCAAAAACUGACUCAGAAACUUCCAACCAGAGAGGCAAAUUGAUACCAGAUAAUGUCAUGUGUCGGUCAA